CGCACAAGCGGUGGAGCAUGUGGUUUAAUUCGAUGCAACGCGAAGAACCUUACCUACUCUUGACAUCCAGAGAAGCCAGCGGAGACGCAGGUGUGCCUUCGGGAGCUCUGAGACAGGUGCUGCAUGGCUGUCGUCAGCUCGUGUUGUGAAAUGUUGGGUUAAGUCCCGCAACGAGCGCAACCCUUAUCCUUGUUUGCCAGCGAGUAAUGUCGGGAACUCCAGGGAGACUGCCGGUGAUAAACCGGAGGAAGGUGGGGACGACGUCAAGUCAUCAUGGCCCUUACGAGUAGGGCUACACACGUGCUACAAUGGCGCAUACAGAGGGCAGCAAGCUAGCGAUAGUGAGCGAAUCCCAAAAAGUGCGUCGUAGUCCGGAUUGGAGUCUGCAACUCGACUCCAUGAAGUCGGAAUCGCUAGUAAG
rnacentral:rRNA from 1 species